rnacentral:rRNA from 1 species
CGAGCGAGUCUGCCUUGAAAUCGGAGUGCUUGCACUCUGUGAAACAAGAUACAGGCUAGCGGCGGACGGGUGAGUAACACGUGGGUAACCUGCCCAAGAGAUCGGGAUAACACCUGGAAACAGAUGCUAAUACCGGAUAACAACAGAUGAUGCCUAUCAACUGUUUAAAAGAUGGUUCUGCUAUCACUCUUGGAUGGACCUGCGGUGCAUUAGCUAGUUGGUAGGGUAACGGCCUACCAAGGCGAUGAUGCAUAGCCGAGUUGAGAGACUGAUCGGCCACAUUGGGACUGAGACACGGCCCAAACUCCUACGGGAGGCAGCAGUAGGGAAUCUUCCACAAUGGACGCAAGUCUGAUGGAGCAACGCCGCGUGAGUGAAGAAGGGUUUCGGCUCGUAAAGCUCUGUUGUUGGUGAAGAAGGACAGGGGUAGUAACUGACCUUUGUUUGACGGUAAUCAAUUAGAAAGUCACGGCUAACUACGUGCCAGCAGCCGCGGUAAUACGUAGGUGGCAAGCGUUGUCCGGAUUUAUUGGGCGUAAAGCGAGUGCAGGCGGCUCGAUAAGUCUGAUGUGAAAGCCUUCGGCUCAACCGGAGAAUUGCAUCAGAAACUGUCGAGCUUGAGUACAGAAGAGGAGAGUGGAACUCCAUGUGUAGCGGU